GAUGAAGAACGCAGCGAAAUGCGAUAAGUAGUGUGAAUUGCAGAAUUCAGUGAAUCAUCGAAUCUUGAACGCACAUUGCGCCCCUUGGUAUUCCAUGGGGCAUGCCUGUUCGAGCGUCAUUUGUACCUUCAAGCUCUGCUUGGUGUUGGGUGUUUGUCUCGCCUCUGCGUGUAGACUCGCCUCAAAACAAUUGGCAGCCGGCGUAUUGAUUUCGGAGCGCAGUACAUCUCGCGCUUUGCACUCAUAACGACGACGUCCAAAAGUACAUUUUUACACUCUUGACCUCGGAUCAGGUAGGGAUACCCGCUGAACUUAAGCAUAUCAAUAAGCGGAGGA
rnacentral:misc_RNA from 1 species